UACGAAGGGUGCAAACGUUGCUCGGAAUUAUUGGGCGUAAAGAGCGUGUAGGCGGCCAAGCAGGUCCGUUGUGAAAACUGGAGGCUUAACCUCCAGACGUCGACGGAAACCGCGCGGCUAGAGUCCGGAAGAGGAGAGUGGAAUUCCUGGUGUAGCGGUGAAAUGCGCAGAUAUCAGGAAGAACACCAAUGGCGAAGGCAGCUCUCUGGGACGGUACUGACGCUGAGACGCGAAAGCGUGGGGAGCGAACAGG
rnacentral:rRNA from 1 species